UGCGAACUAGUGGCCAGGGGCCGGGUGAAUGUGUAGGAGGCGGGACUUGUCCGGAGUGACUUGGCUUAAAGAGCGGUCAGGCGGCACGCUAAGUACAGCGUGAAAUCUCCCUGCUCAACGGGGAGGGAGCGAUGGAGACUGGCGAGCUAGAGGGCGGUAGAGGGGGGUAGAAUUGCUGGUGUAGCGGUGAAAUGCGUAGAGAUCAGCAGGAAUACCCGUGGCGAAGGCGGCCCCCUGGGCCGAACCUGACGCUGAGGCGCGAAGGCUAGGGGAGCGAACGGGAUUAGAUACCCCGGUAGUC
rnacentral:rRNA from 1 species